rnacentral:rRNA from 1 species
CGUAGGGUGCGAGCGUUAAUCGGAAUUACUGGGCGUAAAGCGUGCGCAGGCGGUUUUGUAAGACAGGCGUGAAAUCCCCGGGCUCAACCUGGGGACUGCGUUUGUGACUGCAAGGCUAGAGUAUGGCAGAGGGGGGUGGAAUUCCACGUGUAGCAGUGAAGUGCGUAGAGAUGUGGAGGAACACCGAUGGCGAAGGCAGCCCCCUGGGCCAAUACUGACGCUCAUGCACGAAAGCGUGGGUAGCAAACAGGAUUAGAUACCCUGGUAGUCCACGCCCUAAACGAUGUCAACUAGGUGUUGGGUGGGUAAAACCAUUUAGUACCGGAGCUAACGCGUGAAGUUGACCGCCUGGGGAGUACGGCCGCAAGGUUA